rnacentral:rRNA from 1 species
AACGCUAGCUACAGGCUUAACACAUGCAAGUCGAGGGGCAGCACAGUGUAGCAAUACACGGGUGGCGACCGGCGCACGGGUGCGUAACGCGUAUCCAACCUUCCCGUUACUCUUGGAUAGCCUUCCGAAAGGGAGAUUAAUACAAGAUGGUAUUCAAAUACCGCAUGUUAUUUGAAUUAAAGAUUUAUCGGUAACGGAUGGGGAUGCGUGACAUUAGAUAGUAGGCGGGGUAACGGCCCACCUAGUCUACGAUGUCUAGGGGUUCUGAGAGGAAGGUCCCCCACACUGGAACUGAGACACGGUCCAGACUCCUACGGGAGGCAGCAGUGAGGAAUAUUGGUCAAUGGUCGGAAGACUGAACCAGCCAAGUAGCGUGAAGGAUGAAGGUUCUAUGGAUUGUAAACUUCUUUUAUACGGGAAUAAAACCUCCCACGUGUGGGAGCUUGUAUGUACCGUAUGAAUAAGCAUCGGCUAACUCCGUGCCAGCAGCCGCGGUAAUACGGAGGAUGCGAGCGUUAUCCGGAUUUAUUGGGUUUAAAGGGAGCGUAGACGGGAUGUUAAGUCAGUUGUGAAAGGCUGCGGCUCAACCGCAGCACUGCAGUUGAUACUGGUGUCCUUGAGUGCGGUUGAGGUAUGUGGAAUUCGUGGUGUAGCGGCGAAAUGCUUAGAUAUCACGAAGAACUCCGAUUG